GAGUUUGAUCGUGGCUCAGAUUGAACGCUGGCGGCAGGCCUAACACAUGCAAGUCGAGCGGAUGAAGGGAGCUUGCUCCUGGAUUCAGCGGCGGACGGGUGAGUAAUGCCUAGGAAUCUGCCUGGUAGUGGGGAUAACGUCCGGAAACGGGCGCUAAUACCGCAUACGUCCUGAGGGAGAAAGUGGGGGAUCUUCGGACCUCACGCUAUCAGACGAGCCUAGGUCGGAUUAGCUAGUUGGUGGGGUAAAGGCCUACCAAGGCGACGAUCCGUAACUGGUCUGAGAGGAUGAUCAGUCACACUGGAACUGAGACACGGUCCAGACUCCUACGGGAGGCAGCAGUGGGGAAUAUUGGACAAUGGGCGAAAGCCUGAUCCAGCCAUGCCGCGUGUGUGAAGAAGGUCUUCGGAUUGUAAAGCACUUUAAGUUGGGAGAAGGGCAGUAAGUUAAUACCUUGCUGUUUUGACGUUACCAACAGAAUAAGCACCGGCUAACUUCGUGCCAGCCG
rnacentral:rRNA from 1 species